rnacentral:rRNA from 1 species
CUACGUGCCAGCAGCCGCGGUAAUACGGAAGGUCCAGGCGUUAUCCGGAUUUAUUGGGUUUAAAGGGAGCGUAGGCUGGAGAUUAAGUGUGUUGUGAAAUGUAGACGCUCAACGUCUGAAUUGCAGCGCAUACUGGUUUCCUUGAGUACGCACAACGUUGGCGGAAUUCGUCGUGUAGCGGUGAAAUGCUUAGAUAUGACGAAGAACUCCGAUUGCGAAGGCAGCUGACGGGAGCGCAACUGACGCUUAAGCUCGAAGGUGCGGGUAUCAAACAGGAUUAGAUACCCUGGUAGUCCGCACAGUAAACGAUGGAUGCCCGCUGUUGGUACCUGGUAUCAGCGGCUAAGCGAAAGCAUUAAGCAUCCCACCUGGGGAGUACGCCGGCAACGGUGAAACUCAAAGGAAUUGACGGGGGCCCGCACAAGCGGAGGAACAUGUGGUUU